AAUCAAACCAAGGGCCACGUACACCAAAAUAUCCUUGCGGAACAUGCAAUCGUGAAGUCACAUGGAAAACUGAAGCUGUCUGCUGUGAUAGCUGUGGAAAGUGGUAUCACAUCAACUGCCAACAAAUAAAUCGCUCUAAGUACGAAAUAUUAGGAAAGAGUAACAUCUCAUGGGAAUGCAUCAACUGUGGCAUGCCAAAUUUUUCCACAACCUUUUUCAAUACCACAAUUGAGACAUCAAACAGUUUUUUUCAGAAUUAGACAUAAAUAAUGAGCCAAAUGGUGUGGAUAACAUCGGCCCACCAAAUUUUACAUCUUCAACCUUACCAAAAAAAACCAAGGGUAAAUACAGAAAUACAAAAACAAACCGAAUUCAGGUAAAACACCACUGAGACAACUUACCAUUAAUUGUCAGUCUAUAAAAAACAAAAACAAACUAAAAUUGAACAAAUGAUUAAAUCUGGUGAGCCAGACAUAAUUUACGGCACAGAACCUGGCUCUCAAAUACGAUAUCACCAUCAAAGUACACCGUAUACAACAAAAAUAGAAAAGACGGAUAUGGAGGAGUACUACUAUCAGUAUCAAACAAUUACAUAUCAUCACAAGUAAAUGAAUUUGACACAGAUUGUGAAAUAAUUUGGGCAUAUAAUAAAACACUAUACUUAGGUGUGUAUAGACCACCUUCAGAUAAAGGGGAAUCAUUAGAAAACAUGGGUAUCUCUCUUAAUACUGAAUGCAAGAAAACAAAUGCAAACAUCUGGCUGAGUGGUGACUACAAUCUAGGCCACAUAAACUGGGAAAAACACUUGGUAUUACAAAACAAACCUGAUCCAGCACUACACCAACAACUGCUUAAUAUUCUGGAUGAUAAUAACCUAACACAAGUAAUUAAAAAGAACACCAGAAAUGAUAGAACUUAAGAUUUAAUGUGCAUGACAUAUCCAUCCUUUGUGAACAGGGUUGAGACCCUCCCAUCAAUUAGAGGAAGCGACCAUGACAUUGUCUUUUGUGAAAUCAACUUUGCUAUACAAACACAAAAACAACAACCACAUAAAGCACUAAUAUACAAAAAACGCAAACUGGGAGAACAUAAAGAAAGAUCUCAUCCUUACACAUGAUUAUUUUAAAGCAAACAAGACAAAUAUGACUGUCGAUGAUCUAUGGACCACCUUUAAACCAAAACGUCAGAGACCAUCAACAAAAAUAUACCAACUAAAGUAAUUGGGAAAAAUUCAAAAUUACCAUGGGUAAAUAGAGACCUGAAAAGACUCAUAAGAAAGAAAAACAAACUCUAUAAAAAGAAAAAUAAUGAUUCAAAUUACAAAAAUUAAUACAAAGAGAUAAAGACCAAAUUUCAAAAAGAGAUAAAGACCAAACUUCAAAAAGAGAUAAGAAAAGCAUACUGGGUAUACAUCGAAAAUAUGAUCUUUGAAAUCGAUAUAAAAGAACCAGACCAGCAUUGAUUCAACAAAUAACCUAAAAAGCUGUACUCAUAUAUAAAAAUCCAAAGAAAGGAAAAUACCGGCAUUGCAUCUUUAAGAAGCGAAGGCACCCUCCAUACAAACCCCUCUGAAAAAGCAAACUAAUAUAAACCAGCAAUUUC
rnacentral:lncRNA from 1 species